CUCGCCUUCUGUCAGCGGUCUGGGGGCUCCCAGUUCUGGCAGUCCAUCAUUCAGCUCCUUCCCGUCCUCUGGAUCGGGACCUUAAUCGAGAUUGGUUCCGGCACCGCCACACUGUUCUGGUUCGAUAGAUGGAUUGGUGACACACCCCUUGCGGCUCGCUUUCCGGACCUGUUCUCCAUCGCGGUUGCUCCGCAGAUCUCCGUGGCGACCACCCUUAUUAAGUUAGGGCAACUCGCGUUCCGGAGACCUUUUGGCCCGGCUGAGAACGCGGACUGGCAGGAGCUGCUCAACUGUAUUGCUCUCCACGAGCCUGAUCUCUCGGCGGACGAUGACCGCGCCAGAUGGCGGCUAGAGCCUUCUGGACAAUUCUCCACCAAAUCUCUCUACCUGGCCAUCGCCCCCUCGCUUGGCCAUGAGGCGCUCUCCUCCAUUUGGGAGAUUCGCCUGCCCCUGAAAAUUAGGAUCUUCUUAUGGCAAUGGAUUCGCGGCCGCCUCCCAUCAGGCGUAGAGGUUCUGAAGCGCAAUGGCCCUGGGGAUGGGCGUUGCCCGCUUUGCGGGCCUGAAGAAGAUUCGAACCAUAUCUUCUCACCCGCGUGUCUGCGCAGUUCCUUUGGAGCUGUUUCCGCGAGAUUAUGGGUGGAAGCUGGGACCAUAACAACUUCCCCGCUCUCUUUGCCGAACUCCAGGUGA
rnacentral:rRNA from 1 species